rnacentral:misc_RNA from 1 species
UCCUAGUUAACCUAGGCAGUCUCGUUAGAGUUCCCAUCCGAAAUGUUGGCAACUAACGAUAAGGGUUGCGCUCGUUGCUGGACUUAACCAAACACCUCACGGCACGAGCUGACGACAGCCAUGCAGCACCUGUGCAGCGGCCCCGAAGGGAAAUAACAUUUCUGUUAUCGUCCACUGCAUGUCAAGUCUGGGUAAGGUUCUUCGCGUUGCAUCGAAUUAAACCACAUUCUCCACUGCUUGUGCGGGUCCCCGUCAAUUCUUUUAAGUUUCACCCUUGCGAGCGUACUCCCCAGGCGGUAUACUUAACGCGUUCGCUUCGACACAAUCGGGGUUGAUUCCAAUUACAUCUAGUAUACAUCGUUUACGGCAAGGACUAC